GACGAACGCUGGCGGCGUGCUUAACACAUGCAAGUCGAACGGAAAGGCCCUGCUUUUGUGGGGUGCUCGAGUGGCGAACGGGUGAGUAACACGUGAGUAACCUGCCCUUGACUUUGGGAUAACUUCAGGAAACUGGGGCUAAUACCGGAUAGGAGCUCCUGCUGCAUGGUGGGGGUUGGAAAGUUUCGGCGGUUGGGGAUGGAAUCGCGGCUUAUCAGCUUGUUGGUGGGGUAGUGGGUUACCAAGGCUUUGACGGGUAGCCGGCCUGAGAGGGGGACCGGCAAAAUUGGGGUGGGAGACCGGCCAAGAGUCGAUGGGGGGGGACGGGGGGGGAAGUUUAACAAAGGGGGGGAGACCGUGAUGAUGAAGCCCCGGGGGGGAGAGAGGGUCUUUGGGUGGAAACCCCGUUUUGCCGGGUGACAAAGGGUGGGAGAGGAAAUGGGGAAAAGAGCCCCGGGCAAACUGGG
rnacentral:rRNA from 1 species